AGUCGCGUGUCCUGGACCCGAAGCGGGAUGAUCUAGCCCUGAGCAGGUUGAAGCGCGGGUAAGACCGUGUGGAGGACCGAACCCACCUGGGUUGAAAACCGGGGGGAUGACUUGGGGCUAGGGGUGAAAGGCCAAUCAAAUUCCGUGAUAGCUGGUUCUCUCCGAAAUGCAUUUAGGUGCAGCGUCGGAUCGAUUACAUCCGGGGGGUAGAGCGACUGGAUGCUUGCGGGCCCAUAUCGGGUACCAACAGCAACCAAACUCCGAAUACCCGUGAUGCGUAUCCCGGCAGUGAGUCGGCGGGGGAUAAGCUCCGUCGUCGAAAGGGAAACAGCCCAGAUCGUCGUCUAAGGUCCCCAAGCGUGUGCUAAGUGGGAAAGGAUGUGGAGUCGCAUAGACAGCCAGGAGGUUGGCUCAGAAGCAGCCACCCUUGAAAGAGUGCGUAACAGCUCACUGGUCUAGUGGUUCCGCGCCGACAAUGUAGCGGGGCUCAAGCACACCACCGAAGACGCGGCAGUAGCUUUGCUACUGGGUAGGAGAGCGUCCCAUGCGGGGCGAAGCGGCGGCGCAAGCCCGCCGUGGACCGCAUGGGAGUGAGAAUGCAGACAUGAGUAGCGAAAGACGGGUGAAGAUCCCGUCCGCUGGACGACCAAGGGUUCCAGGGCCACGUUCAUCGUCCCUGGGUGAGUCGGGUCCUAAGGCGAGGCCGACAGGCGUAGUCGAAUGGACGAACGGGUCGAUAUUCCCGUACCGGCAUGCAACCGGCAAAACCGAAUCCGCGAGUACUAACCUCCGGGUCCGGGCUCACGUCUCCUUCGGGAGCCGGAUGCCCUGGCCUGUUGGGACCGUAACGGUAGUAGGUCAGCGCGGGAGUGACGCAGAAGGGUAGCCGGCCGCGGAGGUGGUCUUCCGUGGUCAAGCACGCAGCCCGUCCCACAGGCAAAUCCGUGGGGCGCGUGGGCGAGGUGCGAUGAUGGGCGCCGCAGGGCGCGAUAUCCGGUGAUCCCGGCUGCCGAGAAAAGCUUCGGCGUGAGGCGGCAUGCCGCCCGUACCCCAAACCGACACUGGUGGUCAGGUAGAGAAUACCAAAGCGAUCGAGCGAAUCCUGGUCAAGGAACUCGGCAAAUCACUCCCGUUCCUUCGGUUUAAGGGAGACCCCCGAUGGUGAAGCGGCUUGCCCGCGGAGCUUUUGGGGGUGGCACAGACCAGGGGGUAGCGACUGUUUACCAAAAACACAGGAGCGUGCGAAGGCGCAAGCCGCUGUAUACGCUCUGACGCCUGCCCGGUGCCGGAAGGUUAAGAGGAUCCGUCAGGCCUCGGCCGAAGCGGUGAAUUCAAGCCCCGGUAAACGGCGGUGGUAACUAUAACCAUCCUAAGGUAGCGAAAUUCCUUGUCGGGUAAGUUCCGACCUGCACGAAUGGCGUAACGACUUCCCCACUGUCUCGACCAGGAGCUCGGCGAAAUUGCAGUACGAGUAAAGAUGCUCGUUAAGCGCAGAAGGACGAAAAGACCCCGGGACCUUUACUAUACCUUGGUAUUGGCAUUCGGUGUGGAUUGUGUAGCAUAGGCGGAAGGCUUCGAAGCCACGGCGCCAGCCGCGGUGGAGCCGCAAGGUGAAAUACCGCUCUGUUCGCAUUGGAUGUCUAACCUCGACCAGUCAUCCUGGUCAGGGACAGUGCCUGGCGGGUAGUUUAACUGGGGCGGUUGCCUCCCAAAGAGUAACGGAGGCGCUCAAAGGUUCCCUCAGCCCGGUUGGCAAUCGGGUGGCGAGUGUAAGUGCACAAGGGAGCUUGACUGCGAGACUGACGGGUCGAGCAGGGACGAAAGUCGGAACUAGUGAUCCGGUGCCGGUGUACGGACGCGGCAUCGCUCAACGGAUAAAAGGUACCCCGGGGAUAACAGGCUGAUCAUUCCCAAGAGUCCAUAUCGACGGGAUGGUUUGGCACCUCGAUGUCGGCUCGUCGCAUCCUGGGGCUGGAGCAGGUCCCAAGGGUUCGGCUGUUCGCCGAUUAAAGCGGCACGCGAGCUGGGUUCAGAACGUCGUGAGACAGUUUGGUCUCUAUCCUCUGCGCUCGUCGGAAUGUUGAGGAGGCCUGCCCAUAGUACGAGAGGACCUGGGUGGACGAACCUCUGGUAUGCCGGUUGUCACGCCAGUGGCACGGCCGGUUGGCUACGUUCGGAAGGGAUAACCGCUGAAAGCAUCUAAGCGGGAAGCCUGCUCCAAGAUAAGCAUUCCAUAGGACUACGGGUCCUUGAAGUCCCCAUGCAGAACACGUGGUUGAUAGGCCGGACGUGGAAGCCCCGCGAGGGGUGGAGCCGACCGGUACUAACGGACGAAAGGCAACACAAU
rnacentral:rRNA from 1 species